CUCUCUCUCUCUCUCUCUCUCUUUCUUUCUUUCUUUCUUUCCCUUUCCCUCUCUCCCUCUCUCUAUUUCUGUAUACUAUUCCCAAUAACUGUAAAGUACCUCAGUAGAUCUUUUGGGUUAUUUUUCAAAGAAGACAUUAGAUGCCAUAUUAAAUGUGAUUUUUCUCCCUAAUUCACCCUCUCUCUUUCAAUGCACAUUUCUACCCACUUUAUAACGCACUCUCCCAUCCCCCAAAAUAUAGGGGAAGUAAAUCUAAAAAACUUCUCAAGACCAUGAUGCCGCAUAACAAAUGACAGUCGGAUGUCCAGGUCGUAAAAAUAAUUGGAUUCAAUUGUAAAAAAAAAAAAAUGUGUGUAAAAAAUUACAAAAAACAAAACAGCAUCUAUUACCGGUGUCUAUUUUAUUUUACUGUUAUUAUUAUAUUUUUUUUUUUUUUUUUUUUUUUCUUACUUUAUCGAUAAGGCCUUUGACACUACUCAUGUAUACGAAUAUUUGGUAGUCUACAAAAUUACUAUUAAUAUACGUUCUAACUAUACUGUAAAGUGCAUGGUAUACGAUCAUAACUGUUAAGUCCCAAUAGAGUUUAGGUCAGUAGUAUCUACUGUACGAACGAUAUACGUAAUGAAAAGGGGUCUUGUCUUAUAAAAUUCUGCUUACAAAAGAGCGAAUAUUUUUUCUUGGGUGGGGGGAGAUACCCACCAGCCUGCCCGUUAGCCAUUGGGGGAGAGGAAGACAGUUGAUGAGGAUUGUGAUUGUGAACAUUCAUGGCUCUAGGUCUUUUCAAAAGGGAAUGAUGGACGCUUGAAGCAUUUUGAUGUCGUGACCUGAUGGAGAGACUCAUUACUGAAGAGUUAUUAUUAUUAUUGAUAUUAUUGUUGUCGUUAUUUUUAUUAUUAUUAUUAUUACUAUUUAUAUUAUUAUUAAUAUCAUUAUUAUUAUUGUUAUCAUUAUCAUUAUCAUUAUUCAUUUUUGCGAUCUAGUGCUCGAACCUGAUCAUGUGAUUAUCUGAUGAUAUUAUUUUAAAUAGAAACUAUGUUUAGCAAAUGACGUAUUUAUCACAAUAAGUCAUAUUUUUAUCAUAUUAUUACAAUCCUCCACAGUUGACGUUUAUUACAUAGGCAUUAAUCCUUCCUACUGUAUCUCCUCUUUGUCAUAUAUACAUAACUAGAAGUUUAGAGAGCGUAAGACCACGACUUGACGAAAGCACGAGACGCUAAUUGCCUGCGAAAUGACCAACUUCUUUAUCGCUCGAACACGUGGGCGUUUGUGCUUUCGGGAAGAUUCGUUCAGAAGUCCCGCGCGUGGGUUGUGUUCCGUGGGUGUCGUUCACUGGUUUGUUCACAGGGUUCAGAGGUGAGGGGAGAAACUGAACGGGGUGUGAUAUUGGAACGAAAGGGGGCCUAGAUGUAAACUUGAAACUUGAUAAAGCCGCAGAGAAGAAAACAAAAUACAAUAAUGAUAAUGAUGAAACCACAUAUGGAUAUCAAUCACUAGAAUUUUGUGUUAUGACUGAAAAUAAAAAUAAUGAUUACAUCACCGCUUCAUGAUGAUUGAUAUAAACGUUUCUGUUUUAAGUUUAAAACAAAACAAAGGGGGAUUCCAUUGAUAAGAUAUUUCUUUUAUAUAUAUCUAUUCACGGAAAAAAAACAGAAAAAAAUUACAACCAUAUUUUUUCCCCCAAGAUUUUCCCAGGAUUUUCCCCGUUAUUUCGCCUGUUUUCUGAUUAGUGGGGUUUAAGAUCAGACGUUAGUUUGUCUUGCCGGCAUGUUAUAACUGUGAGCAUGUGCGUGAGUGUGCAUUAAAUACCCAUGAUUCCAGUAUAUAAAUACCAACUGUUUCCUUUUACUUGAAGUUUGAUGUUUGAAAACUUUACACCUCUACGUUGAUGUUUUUUUUAAACUAUUAACCUAGAGGAGAGAGAGGCGUAGAAGUCUAAUACUAUAUAUAUAUAUAUACGAGAGGGAAGUGUUCGUAUGUAAAUUAACUGAAUGUGAAUGUUUGUGUCUGUCUCACCAAUGUUCAAACAAAGCAACGCAUUACCACCAUAUAUAUCAGGUGAUUUCCCUGUACAAGAUGUAUGCAAAGGAACGCCAGUUUUUUUUCUUGUUUUUUUUUUUUUUUCAUUCAUUAUAUGUAUAUAAAGAUUGGCUAACCUCUGCCAUACCGAGUGUUCAAAGGGUACAAUUGACCCAGUGUUUUUCCCGCCUUUUACACCCCCCCACACCCCCUCCCCCCCCUCUCUCCCCCUCCCCUUAUAUCAUAUCAGAUAAACAGCACCUAUUUUUAACGUUUGUGAAUUUUUUGGAAAGAAAGAUAUAAAAAAAAUAUAUAUAUAAUAUUAAUAUCUUCAUCUCUGUCAUGUACUUUUUGUGAAAACCACUCCUAUACAAAAUGUACAAACGAUUUUCAUGAGUAUGGUACAAACUUUGUAACCUGAACAGCGGAGAUUACUUUAGGUUCGUCGGGGCGAGAGGUAGAACAGCGAUGAACAACAAGGGAACAAAGUCCUAUCGUUAGAGGAUGAACUAAAGUGGCUUUAAUUACUAAUAAUUCCUUUUGCAGUCUCGCCCCUUUUGCUUUGUUUCUUCGCUCGAUCUUUUUUUUGUUUUUUUCCAUGAGCUCGUAUCCCUUUAGAAUGAUGAUGUUUACUGGAUUAUAAUUGUCGUUUUAGAGUUCUUGCUGUUUUCUCGUUAAAUCUUAUUGACCUAUUUAUUAUUAUUAUCAUUAUUUUGAUGUUUCAUCCAUUCUCUCUUGCGUCGAUAGCAUUCGUAAUACUUGCAAGAAGAUUUUUAUAAAAACAUCCUGUAAAGUCCUUUUCACAAUUUUCUCUUGGUCGCUGCUUUCUGAAUCUCACAUUUAUCACCCCCCCGGGCCCCCCCCACCCCCCACCAAUAUAAAAUAAAAUGUAAACGAAACGAAGAUAAAAAAAUAUUCGAUGGACCUCCUGCCGAAAAUCUUUCAUUAUUAUUAUUAUUAUUUGGCUAAGUUGUUACAUGUUAUAUAUACUGUUGUAUUGUUAAAUCAUCAACGAAUACUUUGCACCCUGUAAAAAGAAAAAUUACAAAAACAAAGAUAAAAUGUUGUAUACCAAUUAUUUUUUUGGAGUGACAGGUGGGUGGGCGUGACUGGGUGUUGUCAUGUCAUGGAGGGAUGGCAGUCAUGUUGUAAUAUAAUCAAUAAAAAAAAAAUCAAUAACCAAACUCCUUUAUGUUUGUGUAAUGUAUGUUUCGAUAAAAAGAGACUGUGAUUUUUUUUUUUUUUUAUUCGGUUUGAUGAUCCCCAGUCCAAAAAAUAGAGAGAGAGAAAAAGAGAACUUGACAUAAGCGUGAAAAAAACAAAAAAAAUUCUAAAUGAAAUGCCCAUGACUGUGUACCUUCGACCUGACCUGACCUGACCCUCACGCGCCCCUCCCCCUUGCUACAACGAGACCCAUUCUGUAUAUCCACAAGCAAGAAUGUACAAUAGUUUAACCCAUGGACUACACAUGUCAAAGGUUUAAUAUAAGGCAUACAAGACUGCUCAUAAAUAAUGAUUAGGAAGUAGGUUGAGUCUGUAGGAAAAAAAAUACGUUAUGUAUAGUUGAUCUAUAUAUGAAUAUAUCUUGUCAUAGAGGAAAAAGAAAAAGAAAUGAUUCAGAUGUCAGCUGGAAAAUUUCAUUAACUGAGAUUCCUUUUUUUUUUCUGAAGAUGUUGUUUGUCUGACGCCGCAGAUUGGACUAGAAGUAACAGAAAAAGGUGUUAAAUAUUAGUAGAUAAAAACGAUAGCUUAAUUAUCCUUCUGUCGGGAUUUUCAGACCAAUAAUGUCAUCAGGGAGGAGAAUGCCAGAUUGAUUACCUUUUGCCACUGUUAUAAUGAGUGUGAAUUGUAGGAUGGUUAUGAAUAAGUAAAUUAAAGGUGGUAUUUUUUUUGUACAUGAGAGGUAGAGAUCGUACUGGCUGGACGUAAAAUGUACUUAAUGUGAAACGAAGUAAGUUUUUUUUAAGAGUUACUAUAGAAAUAUGGUCUUAGAGAGAAGUAAAAAAAAACUCUUGGUGGUUUUCUCAUUCGUCUGUCAAAUUUGAACGUGUGAAAUAACUGUGCCAGCCUUAGAUUUACUACAUAUAUAUAUAACUCUGUUACGAUCUUUAGAAUUGUCGAACUGAAAGUGGUAAAGAGUAGAAAACCGGUAUCCAAUCUCCAUCAUGUCCUCUUUAGGGAAAUAUUAGGUAAUCUGAUCAUGUGUGCAUUUUCCUUUUUUGAAUGUCAGGGACUCUUCACAAAACUCGGGGAAUAAAGUACAAACACCAGUCUGGAAAAUAAAAAAAAAUAAUAGGCCUAGAGUUCAGUCUUCGAGAGCUCGGUUUGUCUUUUUUGUGUGUCAUCGGCCUCUUUCCCAGUGGAGUGUGACCAAUGAGAGCCCUCGUUGCAUAAGGGAUAGGAGAGAGAUCGACCAAUCAGGUUGUUCCCUCAGGAGCUGAACCACCAAUCAGGUUUCUCAGUACAAAAGACGAGAGUAUUUUUUUAGUUUUUAUUUAUUGUCUUUUUUUAAUUUGUGCUUUAAAAAUAGCGUAAAGAAAUGUAGUUUAUAUCCCAUGCCAUCGAGGCGAUCAGUGAAGACACUCCAUAAUCCUCCGGGAAAAUGAAUCCAGCAUAAAAACAAAAGAAAGAUGGCCGAAUGAUGAAAAGACGUAAAUCGCUCUAUAUGAAUGACGGUGCAUUUUUUCUCUUUAUCUUUUUUGAUUUUCAAUAUCAUUUUAUACUGUAAUUCCUAUUUUUCUGGAUUGCUUUUGGCUCGCCAUGUUCCUUUUGCGUUAUAUUUAUCGAAGAAUUGCUAGCACUCAUGUAUCACUACUUUGAAUGAUAAGACUAUGCAUAUAUUAGCCAACCACUGUGUAGUCACUUUACCUGAACCAACAAACAGAAUAAUAUGUAGCAGUGAACAUACUUUUCAUCUUAAGACUUUGUUGAACCAGUAGCGGGUGGCACAAAGGGAGUCGGAGGCAAAAGGAAAGGACAGGCGAAGGAGAGAGAGAGAGAGAGAGAUAAUAAAAGAGAAUGGGAAGAAAGUAUGACAUUGUUUUUGAGUCAUAUUUGAUACGUCAUUUCCAGAUUUUUUGGGGGGCGAAUAUUUAGUCCCAGUGGUUUCUCUUGCCCCCCGCCCCUGCCCUCUCCCCUUUCGACUCCUGGCUGCCUCCGCGUAUGACGAAUGCUCAACACUUGUUAUAUAUUGGUUGUGUAGUUUGUACUUAUUCUUAUACUGCCCUGGAACCUCCAAAAGGGACACUUUGAUCUGCAAAUGUUAACUCGGAGGCCAUUUACUAGUCCUCGUUAAGGAAGCUCCAGCAAGAGUGACAAGAAGCCUGUGAAUUUUUUGUGAUUUUAGAAGAAGAUAGUUUGUUUCUUGCUGGAGUUUCGACCAGGAUACUUUAUUUAUUUUUUUGAAAUCUACUGUCGCACGGGGUGGGUAGUCUUUAAACGUGUCAGCCAUGUCUGGACUGCAACGUAGAGAUCCGUAUGUUUGUAAAUGUUAAAAAAAAAACAAAAAAAAAAAUGGUUACCAGAGAACUGAAAUAUUUCCUAAUUUCAGUGCCUAUCAAAUCUCAGUCUACAUGUACUAUAUCUAAGUCUUGCCCACUCACCCUCCCACCCCAUAACUACAUGAGUCACCCCCCCUCGACAUUUAUAAGGAAGGGACUUGUGGCUAAUCUAUUGUUCAAACUUUCUUAAGUCACCCCUUUAAAUAAGUUUCCGUUAUCUUCUCACGGGUAUUCCAGAAGCCAAUUGGAGUGUUUCUGUACAAAGUUGCAUUAGAAUUGAGUCUAUAGAGGCCAGAUGUUAGUCAGUGUAGGAUGUAGGUAUUUUUUUUUUUCUCCUGAUGGACUUUCAGCACUGACAGUAUGACAUAUAUAUUAAGAACGGUUUCUCUCAGUGUGACAGUUCCAAGGUAGAAGGACUGUUUUCUCUUCCCCCCUCCCCCUCCUAGAAUUCCAUCAGUUAAGUGCAAUAUAGUCCUAAGCCUCAUGGUUGAUCCUGCCAUUCGUUAUUGUAUUGAUUCACAGCUUUAUGAAGAGGGUCGUUCGGUAUUCAUUUUCCUGCAAGAAAAGAAAUAUGGAAAUCCUACAGUACCUCGCGAUGACCAGUGAGGACUAAAGAGCGGCCUGUACACAUCACGCAAUAUAUGUGAUCACUUCAGCGGCUUUUAAACCUUGUUAUCUUCGACACCCUCUGGAAACGAAUAAAUCUUAAAAAAGAACUCUAAGAAGAUGAAUAUUAGUCAUCCAUUACAAGUCCGAUCAAGGAUUUACAAAAUAUAAGAGUGAUGUCUGACGCAGAAGAAGAAGCAGAAGAAGAAGAAGAAGAAGAAGAAGAAGUGAAAAUGAAUAAAUCUCCCCAGAUUUGUUACUUCAAAAUGGUCGCGGACACAAUUCAUCGCUAAUAAUGUAUUUGUAAUAUUCGUUGGUAAAUAUAUAUGUCCUAUAAAGGUGUAA